rnacentral:rRNA from 1 species
AACGAACGCUGGCGGCAGGCUUAACACAUGCAAGUCGAGCGCCCCGCAAGGGGAGCGGCAGACGGGUGAGUAACGCGUGGGAAUCUACCCAUCUCUACGGAAUAACGCAUGGAAACGUGUGCUAAUACCGUAUACGUCCUUCGGGAGAAAGAUUUAUCGGAGAUGGAUGAGCCCGCGUUGGAUUAGCUAGUUGGUGGGGUAAAGGCCUACCAAGGCGACGAUCCAUAGCUGGUCUGAGAGGAUGAUCAGCCACACUGGGACCGAGACACGGCCCAGACUCCUACGGGAGGCAGCAGUGGGGAAUAUUGGACAAUGGGCGCAAGCCUGAUCCAGCCAUGCCGCGUGAGUGAUGAAGGCCCUAGGGUUGUAAAGCUCUUUCACCGGUGCAGAUAAUGACGGUAACCGGAGAAGAAGCCCCGGCUAACUUCGUGCCAGCCGCCGCAGUAAGAC